rnacentral:rRNA from 1 species
UACAGAGGGUGCGAGCGUUAAUCGGAAUUACUGGGCGUAAAGCGCGCGUAGGCGGCUUUGCAAGUCGGGUGUGAAAUCCCCAGGCUUAACCUGGGAACUGCAUUCGAGACUGCAUUGCUAGAGUAUGGGAGAGGGAAGUGGAAUUUCCGGUGUAGCGGUGAAAUGCGUAGAUAUCGGGAGGAACACCAGUGGCGAAGGCGGCAACCUGGACAGAUAUUGACGCUGAUGUGCGAAAGCGUGGGGAGCAAACAGG